CCCNUCUUGAAACCCGAACCAAGGAGUGCAAGAGGUGCGCAAGUCGGAAGGGUUUUGUUGGGGUGUGUCCUUGUGGCUGCCCCACCAGAGAGACCCAUGUGUAUUGGAACAGGCGAAGUGAGAGCAAUUUUGCGGGUGCGAGAGCCAUGGGGAGACCCGUGGCGCAUCGCUGGCCGAGCCGUAUGGUCACGCUGUGGCCGGUUUCGAGUGCGAGCGUAUCUGUUGCGACCCGAAAGAUGGUGAACUAUGCCUGAGGAGGGUGAAGCCAGAGGAAACUCUGGUGGAGGCCCGUAGCGGUUCUGACGUGCAAAUCGAUCGUCGCACUUGGGUAUAGGGGCGAAAGACUAAUCGAACCAUCUAGUAGCUGGUUCCCUCCGAAGUUUCCCUCAGGAUAGCUGGAGCUCGUUCCGAGCAGUUUCGUCGGGUAAAGCGAAUGAUUAGAGGUAUCGGGGUUGAAAGGACCUCGACCUAUUCUCAAACUUUAAAUCGGCGAGAAGGGGCUGUCUUUCCUACCGGAAGACGUCCCACGAAUGCAGGGGCUCCAUGUGGGCCGUUUUUGGUAAGCAGAACCGGCGAUGCGGGAUGAACCGAACGUUGGGCUAUGGCGCCGGAGUCGACGCUGAGCAGAUACCAGGAAAGGUGUUGGUUGAU
rnacentral:rRNA from 1 species